UACGUAGGGGGCAAGCGUUGUCCGGAUUUACUGGGUGUAAGGGGCGCGUAGGCGGGUUAGCAAGUCAGAGGUGAAAUACUACAGCUUAACUGUAGAACUGCCUUUGAAACUGUUAAUCUUGAGUGCGGAAGAGAGAGACGGAAUUCCAGGUGUAGCGGUGAAAUGCGUAGAUAUCUGGAAGAACACCAGUAGCGAAGGCGGUCUCUUGGUCCGUUACUGACGCUCAGGCGCGAAAGCGUGGGGAGCAAACAGG
rnacentral:rRNA from 1 species